GCAAACUUGGUCAUUUAGAGGAAGUAAAAGUCGUAACAAGGUUUCCGUAGGUGAACCUGCGGAAGGAUCAUUAACGUGUUCGUUCGGCCGCUCGGGUCGGCCCUGCACCGGCGGAGACGCCGUGCUGCGGGCUCUCGGGCGUGCCUUCCAAACCAAACCCCUGUGAACCUUUGGGAAGGCCGAGCCUUCGCGGCGAAGUCGUCCCCUUUACAAACUCUGUAUCUCUAGAAUGACCGCGGACUUCGUCUGCCUAAACACAUAACAACUUUCAACAACGGAUCUCUUGGCUCUCGCAUCGAUGAAGAACGCAGC
rnacentral:misc_RNA from 1 species